rnacentral:piRNA from 1 species
UUCAUUUAUCAAGUGUGAAUUGGGUAGGCC